rnacentral:rRNA from 1 species
GACGAGCCACACAAACGUUAUUCGGAUUUACUGGGCUUAAAGGGUGCGUAGGCGGCGCGGAAAGUGGGGUGUGAAAGCCCUCGGCUCAACCGAGGAAUUGCGCUCCAAACUACCGUGCUCGAGGGAGAUAGAGGUUAGCGGAACUUCGGGUGGAGCGGUGAAAUGCGCAGAUAUCAGGAGGAACACCGAUGGCGAAGGCAGCUCACUGGGACGGUACUGACGCUGAGGCGCGAAAGCGUGGGGAGCAAACAGG